CGCGUAGGCGGCUCGCUAAGUCGGGUGUGAAAACUCUGGGCUCAACCCAGAGCCUGCAUUCGAAACUGACGAGCUAGAGUUCUGGAGGGGAAAGCGGAAUUCCUGGUGUAGCGGUGAAAUGCGUAGAUAUCAGGAGGAACACCGGUGGCGAAGGCGGCUUUCUGGACAGAAACUGACGCUGAGGCGCGAAAGCUAGGGGAGCAAACA
rnacentral:rRNA from 1 species